UACGUAGGGUGCGAGCGUUGUCCGGAAUUAUUGGGCGUAAAGAGCUCGUAGGCGGUGUGUCACGUCGGCCGUGAAAACCUGCAGCUUAACUGUGGGCGUGCGGGCGAUACGGGCAGACUGGAGUACUGCAGGGGAGACUGGAAUUCCUGGUGUAGCGGUGGAAUGCGCAGAUAUCAGGAGGAACACCGGUGGCGAAGGCGGGUCUCUGGGCAGUAACUGACGCUGAGGCGCGAAAGCGUGGGGAGCAAACAGG
rnacentral:rRNA from 1 species